AUGGCGGCCUCCAAGGACGGUUGUGACUUAGGUGAAGAAGCAGCAGGGAAAAGGCCGCGGCCGCACCUGGGGAUUCCUGAGGCCGUGUUUCUGGAAGACAUCAAUUCUUUCAUGAAACAACCGGGGAAUGAGAUGGCGGCUGCUGUGCUGAAGAAGUUGGAUGAACAGUACCAGAAGUAUAGGUUUAUGGAACUGAACCUCGCUCAAAAGAAAAAGAGGCUAAAAGGCCAGCUUCCUGAAAUUCAGAGGACUUUAGACGUUCUAAAAUACUUGCAGAAGAAGAAAGAGUCCACCGACUCACUGGAGACCAGGUUCUUACUGGCGGAUAACCUGUACUGCAGGGCUUCAGUCAUCCCUACCGAUAAAGUGUGUCUCUGGCUGGGGGCUAAUGUAAUGCUGGAGUAUGAUAUCGAUGAAGCUCAGGCACUGUUGGAAAAGAACUUGUCGACUGCCACAGCCAACCUUAAUUCCCUGGAGGACGACCUUGACUUUCUUCGAGAUCAACUUACUACCACAGAAGUCAACAUGUCCAGGGUGUACAACUGGGAUGUAAAGAGAAGAAACAAAGAUGGUUCCACCAAGAACAAAGCAUAA